UACGGGGGGGGGGCAAGCGUUGUUCGGAAUUACUGGGCGUAAAGAGCUCGUAGGUGGUUUGUCGCGUUGUUCGUGAAAACUCACAGCUUAACUGUGGGCGUGCGGGCGAUACGGGCAGACUGGAGUACUGCAGGGGAGACUGGAAUUCCUGGUGUAGCGGUGGAAUGCGCAGAUAUCAGGAGGAACACCGGUGGCGAAGGCGGUUCUCUGGGACGGUACUGACGCUGAGACGCGAAAGCGUGGGGAGCAAACAGG
rnacentral:rRNA from 1 species